rnacentral:rRNA from 1 species
CCUACGGGAGGCAGCAGUGGGGAAUAUUGGACGAUGGGCGCAAGCCUGAUCCAGCCAUGCCGCGUGAGUGAUGAAGGCCUUAGGGUUGUAAAGCUCUUUUGUCCGGGAAGAUAAUGACUGUACCGGAAGAAUAAGCCCCGGCUAACUUCGUGCCGGCAGCCGCGGUAAUACGAAGGGGGCUAGCGUUGCUCGGAAUCACUGGGCGUAAAGGGCGCGUAGGCGGACUUUUAAGUCGGAGGUGAAAGCCCAGGGCUCAACCCUGGAAUUGCCUUCGAUACUGGAAGUCUUGAGUUCGGAAGAGGUUGGUGGAACUGCGAGUGUAGAGGUGAAAUUCGUAGAUAUUCGCAAGAACACCAGUGGCGAAGGCGGCCAACUGGUCCGAAACUGACGCUGAGGCGCGAAAGCGUGGGGAGCAAACAGGGUUAGAUACCCUGGUAGUCCACGCCGUAAACGAUGAAUGCCAGCCGUUGGGGAGCUUGCUCUUCAGUGGCGCAGCUAACGCUUUAAGCAUUCCGCCUGGGGAGUACGGUCGCAAGAUUAAAACUCAAAGGAAUUGACGG